GGCCCCCUCUCCCGUGCAGCAGGACCCGGCUCUCUUCGAGGCUCUCUCCGUCAGUGCCGGACAAACUGCGUGAAGAAAUCGUGGCCUCGCAGACAUUCAUUUCCCCUGACCUGGCUGCUCUUUCUCCCUGUCUCCUAUGCUUGUUGGAUUAUCGCUUCAAGAGUUGGCUUCUUAUCAAGAUGAUUCAGAAAAGGCUGCUGAACUGUGGUGCACAAACAAGGACAUGGGGAAAAGAGUAGAAUUGGUGGGAUAUCUAGGCAGUCCAUUUAUCCAUGAAGAAACUUCCACUAACAAAUGAUAUGAUCAAGAACCUCUUAUUAACAAAGCAUUGUCAUGACCAGGAGAGAGAUCACCUGCCCCUUUCUCAUCAAGACAUCCUUCAUGGUCUUCCCAUCAUGGAUAGCCAACAAAGGUAAAAAUCUACCUUCAGAAAUCAUUCACUUAAAUCAAUGUCUAUUUUCUGCCAAAGUAGGAUGGUAAAUUAUGAGGAGUUAUUAGGUUGGAUAUGCCAAAUGAGAGAACUGAUUCCUGCCAUAAAAAGCUUAAUAUAAAGAGUCAUUAGU